GGAUAAGUGACAGAAUGGUAUUGUAAAGAGGCAUGUUACACCUCGAAAAACAAAUGUAGUGCUGCCCGUAAAUCAGGGGUCUGCUCGUAAAUAAUGCUGAUUGGUGGUUCGAGUCCACCCUUAUCCU
rnacentral:tRNA from 1 species